rnacentral:rRNA from 1 species
GACGAACGCUGGCGGCGUGCUUAACACAUGCAAGUCGAACGGAAAGGCCCUGCUUUUGUGGGGUGCUCGAGUGGCGAACGGGUGAGUAACACGUGAGUAACCUGCCCUUGACUUUGGGAUAACUUCAGGAAACUGGGGCUAAUACCGGAUAGUAGCUCCUGCUGCAUGGUGGUGGUUGGAAAGUUUCGGCGGUUGGGGAUGGACUCGCGGCUUAUCAGCUUGUUGGUGGGGUAGUGGCUUACCAAGGCUUUGACGGGUAGCCGGCCUGAGAGGGUGACCGGCCACAUUGGGACUGAGAUACGGCCGAGACUCCUACGGGAGGCAGCAGUGGGGAAUAUUGCACAAUGGGCGGAAGCCUGAUGCAGCAACGCCGCGUGCGGGAUGACGGCCUUCGGGUGUUAAACCGCUUUCGCCUGUGACGAAGCGUGAGUGACGGUAAUGGGUAAAGAAGCACCGGCUAACUACGUG